rnacentral:rRNA from 1 species
UGGGGAAUAUUGCACAAUGGGCGGAAGCCUGAUGCAGCAACGCCGCGUGCGGGAUGACGGCCUUCGGGUUGUAAACCGCUUUCGCCUGUGACGAAGCGUGAGUGACGGUAAUGGGUAAAGAAGCACCGGCUAACUACGUGCCAGCAGCCGCGGUGAUACGAAGGGUGCGAGCGUUGUCCGGAUUUAUUGGGCGUAAAGGGCUCGUAGGUGGUUGAUCGCGUCGGAAGUGUAAUCUUGGGGCUUAACCCUGAGCGUGCUUUCGAUACGGGUUGACUUGAGGAAGGUAGGGGAGAAUGGAAUUCCUGGUGGAGCGGUGGAAUGCGCAGAUAUCAGGAGGAACACCAGUGGCGAAGGCGGUUCUCUGGGCCUUUCCUGACGCUGAGGAGCGAAAGCGUGGGGAGCGAACA